rnacentral:lncRNA from 1 species
AUAGUUUUACAAGUAUCAUCAUCAUGGUGCUAUUAGGUUUUAAGCCAUUGGAUCUACUUUUUUAUUAUUAAUAGCCCUUGGAUUAAACACUAUUCCACCUACCACCACCUACCACCAUCAUCUCAACCUCACAUCUCUCCAUCCAAAGGCUAAAAACACACAAGCAUCACCCCUAUGAUACUUUUACAAGUAUUCUAGCCCUACUCUAAUUAGACUGGAAUAUUAUUAAUAGUAUCAAUAACUUUGUGCUAUUAAGUUUUCCGCUCUUAGAUUAAAAGAUGUGUGGUUAGGAUGAUGUGGGCCCUCUAGGGGUUUAGUAGGUGGUUGGUUGAAUAGUGUAAUCGAACGGAUGAAAAUGAUAAAAAAGAUAAAUCUAAUGGCAGAAAACUUGAUAGCACCAAAUGCUUAAUGCUAUCGAUAAUAUCCCAGUGGGACUAUAUAUAUAUAUAUAUAGAGUUGAGCUAGAAUACUAUCGAUAGCAAACGGACUCCGUUGCCACCCAUUUGUUUUUGAUGAUAGAGCCUCUAAAUCGACGAUCAGCAACGUUGAAUAUGAUCUAUACCGUAUGAAGUGUUUAGAAAUCAAAUUUCACACAUUUUCGAUAUUGUUAUCUUAUCCAUCGAGUGGAUACAAAAAUGAACGGUUGAAAAUGAAUAUUCUUUAAAAAAUGAUGAUAGGAGCCUUGUAAUCAAGAUCAAGAGUAUAGAUCUUGUUUUAAACAGUUUAAAGAAUUUUCUAACAAAAAAUCAAUUGAUUUGGAUAUCUUUACGCCGUUAAACGAGAAAACGACUCAUAUCGACCAUUAAAAUUACAAAUUUUGAAACCCUUUGAUCAUUAGGCAAAUGAUGUCGAAAAGAUUUGAAAUUUGAUUUCUAAACACUUAAUGUAGUAUAGAUCAUGUUCAACGGUGCCGAUCGUUGAUUUAGAGACUCUAUCAUCAAAAACAAAUUGGUGUCAACGGAGCCCGUUUGCUAUCGAUAGUAUUCUAGCUCAACUCUAUAUAUAUAUAUAUAGAGUGCGGCUAUGAUGCUUAUGGAAGCACGGGGGGCUUCGUGCUUCCACUUUGUUUUCGAUGUUCGGACUUUCGAAUCGAUGAUCGGCUCCGUUAGACUUGAUCUAGAGUAUUUGAAGUAUCUAGAAAAUAAAUUUUGCGAUUUUUCGAUAUCAUUUGCCUAGUGAUCGAAAUGGCUCAAAAUCAACGGCUGAAAAACUAAAAAGCUUACAAAGUUAUGAUGAUAUGACUAUUAAUAAUAUUCCAGAUCAAAGUUAUUGAUCUUGUUUUAUAUGGUAUAAAGAAUUUUCUAUCAAAAUUUCAUGUGAUUUGAAUAUUUCUACACCAUUAAACUUGCAACCGGCUCACCACGGCCAUUAAAAUUAUUGAUUUUGAGCCCCUUCGAUUACUAGGCAAAUGAUAUCGAAAAAUUACAAAAUUUAUUUUUUAGGUAUUUCAAAUACUCUAGAUCAACUCUAACGAAGCCGAUCGUCGAAUCGAAAGUCCGAAUAUCGAAAACAACUUGGAAGCACGGAGGGCUCCGUGCUUCCAUAAGCAUACUAGCCCACUAUAUAUAUAUAUAUAUAUAUAUAUAUAUAUAGAGUAUGGCUAGAAUACUUGUAAAAGUAUCAUGGGUGUGAUACUUGUGUGUUUUUAGCCCUUGGAUGGAGAUAUGUGAGGUUGAGAUGAUGGUGGUAGGUGGUGGUAGGUGGUGGUAGGUGGAAUAGUAUUUCAUCCAAGAGUUAUUAAUAAUCAAAAAGUAGAUCCAAUGGCUUAAAACCUAAUAGCACCAUGAUGGUGAUACUUGUAAAAGUAUCAUAGCUCAACUCUAUAUAUAUAAAGAUUUGAAAUUUGAUUUCUAAACACUUCAAGUGGUAUAGAUCAUGUUUAACGGAGCCGAUCGUCAAUUUGGAAGCUCUAUCAUCAAAAACAAAUCGGCAGUAAAACGGCUCGUUUACUACCGAUAGUAUUCUAGCUCAACUCUAUAUAUAUAUAUAUAUAUAUAUAUAGGGUCCGGCUACUAUCCUAUUAAUAGGAUUGGGACCCUUGUCCUAUCAAGUCGAUUUGAAUGAUCGGAACUUCAAAUUGAUAAUCGGCACCGUUGAAGUUGAUCUACACAAUUAGAAAUGUUUAGAAACCAAAUUUGGUAAUAUUUAAAAAUCAUUAUCAAGUUUAUCUUAAGAGUUGAAAAAUGAACGGUCAUAAAUAAAUAACCUACUUAAAAUAGAGGUUAGACUUUCUCAAUUCGUAAUCAGAGUUAUCAAACAUUAUCUAAAUAGUAUAAAGAAUUUUCUAUCAAAAAUUCAAGCAAUUUGGAUUGCUCUACACCGUUAAACAAGCAAACGGCUCAUAUAGGCCGUUAAAAAUUGUCGAUUUUACGACACUUUGAUCACUAUGUAAACCAUUAUCAAAAUUUAUGAAAUUUAGUUUCUAGAUAUUUCAAAUACUCUAGAUCAACUUCAACGGCUCCGAUCAUCGAUUCAGAAUCUUGAUCAUCAAGAACAACUUGAUAGGACAAGUGCUCCUAUCCUAUUAAUAGGAUAGUAGCAUUAGCCUAUAUAUAUAUAUAUAUAUAUAUAUAUAUAUAUAGAUAUAUAGAUAUAUAUAUAGAACUAUAUUUUAAUCCUAUUGAAAAUAAGCCAGGAAAUAAAAAGUUAAAUUUCUCCUGUUUGUCUUAUUGUCUUUUAAGACUUUAAAUACAUAUAAUAUAUAGAGUUGAGUUAGAAUACUUGUAAAAGUAUUAUGUGAGUGGUGCUUUUGAAUUUUUAGCCAUUGGAUGGAGAGAUGUGAGGUUGAUAUGACGGUGGUAGGUGGUGGUAGGUGGUGGUAGGUGGAAUAGUAUUUGAUCCAAAGACUAUUAGUAAAGUAAUCAAGGAGCAGAUCCAAUGGCUAAAAACCUAAUAGCAUCAUUGGGGUAGUACUUGUAAAAGUAUUCUAGCUCAAUUCUAAUAUAUAAACAUAUUUUCAGGAACAAAG